ACGUGUCUGUUUCUCUACCUUUUUCAAGCCCCAUUUCACAUCACGACCCGGAGACUGGGUUAUUAGAUGGCCGCGGUAGGAGCUUGGGUUGCAUAAGAAGGGCUCACCGGGCCUCACACUUUUGGCGCCAAGGCCCAUCAUACAGCUGGCCCUAGAACCACAGGGAAGACAAACCAACCUGGAAAGGGUAAACCUCGAAGCCAAAAGGACACAAAGUGUCCUCAAUCUUCUGCUUCAGGUCUGCGACACGCGGCUCCAUAGCGCACGUUGAACGCUGAGCUUGCUGGGAAAUGGAGUCUUAUAGUUAACUUGGGCUUUUAGGCGUUAAGACGAGCUGGACUACAUUUCCCAGGAGGUAAAGGACAAGUUAACAGCUUCGAUUGACUCUGCGCGAUGCAUCUUGGUACAAGUAGUUCGUUUGGUCCUUGGAGCCCAAACAUAACAGAGUCUGUAUGACUCCGUGUCCCGACAAGCUUCACGGGGAGGUGUGUGUAUGAACGCCCGGGGGCGCUUCCAGGGAGACGUAUUUCCGCCCUCUAUUGCCUGUUGUCUUCGCCAGAAGCGGACUCAGUUUCCCGAGUGGCGCUGCGGCACCCGCUCUUAAAUCUUAUUCUCCGCCUACUAGAGUUUGAACUCACGGGCGGUAGUAGUGGCUGAUACAGACUUGACGUGGAGAUUGUGCUAGCGUCCUUGAUUUGGGGAGGUUUCAACCAAGAUUCGGCUCAUUCUACUCUCACUUGAUAUCUGUGUUUUAGAGUAUUCUACUUUUUCCCACUUCCCCAAGAAUUCCGUUCCCUAGUUCCAGAUUCGCAGUUUUGCUGUGGUACUGUAUCUGUAGCCUUAAUAUCCCACUCCCACUUUCCUCUCUCCAUCUAACACUGUGGACUGUCCUGGGCUUUACCGCUGGUAUCUUGGUGUGGGAGAGCAAGAGCAGGAAAAGUCAGAGACGCCGUCCUCAGUCCUCCAGGAUGAAUAGGAGCCCUAGCUGGUCUGAUCAACUGCAUGCAGUUCUCAAUUCAACUGAUGAAAAUAUGGCCCGGAUUAAGCAGAAUUUGUAUCCUCUUCGAGUUUCCUCUACAGACAGACCCUGCUCUUGUCCCUUCCUUAUUUCUUCAAUAGGGGACCUGGCUGACACCUGGAUUUCCCCUCAUCAUUUGCCUCCACAGCCAGGGGCCCAAGCUCAUCAGCCUUGGGCUCUAAAGACUCCUGUUCUUGGAGAGAGACUGAGCUGCACUGAAUCUCACAGCUCAUCUUCUCUCUGGAAUGAAGUUACUAAGCUCCGAUCCCAGCUUCAGUCUCAGGCUCAGGUGACUGCGGCGCUAAGGGGUGCUGUGCAGAGCCUGUUAAAGGAUCGGGAGCAGCAGAUGAAGAAGAUCAGUGCUCUAGAAGCAUCACUAAAAUUGCUUCAGGAGGGCCCAAAAGGGAGAGCCCUUCUGGAGCAACGCCUGGAAGGGUUGAGAAAGGAACUGCAGGGCCUUCGGAACCAGGUUCAAGAGCUAGUCCAAAUCCAAACGAGAACAAGACCAGGGAAGUUCAGUGGUACCAAUGGCUUUCACCAAGAGCUGCGGACUGAGCACCAGCUUUUGUGGGAAGAGUCAGAGAUUCUUCGGGAGGAACUGAAGUUGCUUCGAGACCAGCUGAGCCAACAUCAGGAGUUGUUGCUGGAACAGAUAGCUGAAGGGCGCCAGGUUCAAGCCCGCAGCUGGAAGACGUUGGAACACCUACAGAGUGACCAGAAGGGCAAGUUUCAGACCUUGGAGGUUACCAGGACAGAGGCCCCUGAUGCCCAGAAGGAGGAGCCCUACUUCCUCAGGACGUCUGUUCAUGCCUGGCAAUCUAAGCUGCCUAUGGCCAACAUCUUCGCCAUGUCUCUUUCUUCAUCUAGCUCUGAAGUCAGUCUUCCAGACUGUGACCGCAGCUGGGAACUUUUAAAGAAACUAGACAGGGAACUCCAGAACUCCUUUUCUAACCUGGAACCCAGCAGCUCUCAGUCCCAUGCCCAGAGUCUUGGGCAAGAGGAUCUGUUCUUUCAAGGCUCCAAGAUCUUCCAGAGUGAGCUGUAAGGACUUGUAAGAAGAAUGAGAUGAAUCCAUCAAGGCAGUCUUCUCAUCCCCUCUGGACCCCCUAAAGAUGCCUUCACCCUUAGACAACAGGAAGUAAAUUUAAGAACAUAAUGCCCACAUUCCCAAGAGAGGUAGUGGGUGGUUUUUGUUGGUUCAAUGGGUUAUGGAUAUUUGUCAUUGUUUAUGGUGGUUGAUUACAAGUUGUUAUUGGUAAUGGUCAGGAAAAAAGUUGUAUGAAGGAGAUUAGAUUCAGGGUUCUUGUUUUGAAAAGAAAAAAAGAGGAUAUAGAUAUGAUAAGGUAGAUUAAUGAAUCUAACCUGAAAAAAAUAGAUAUAGAAAUGAUAGGAUAGAUAAAAGGGUAGAUUGUUGAAUCUA